rnacentral:lncRNA from 1 species
CGUUGAAGUAAGGCGUCAAAGAAAAAAAAUUAUAAUAGCCUUCAAGACGUCAUAAUUAUUUGGACUAGGCCUUUCCAAGUUUCAAAUUUCUGGUCCGUGUUGAAAAUAAAUGAACAUGACUUUGAAAAAGCAAGAAUUAUAAGCUAAAAGUUAAGUGACGUCUAUUAAAAUAUUUGAAAUAGCCUAAUUAAGAAGUCGACAGGAAAUGAGCUUAUUCAGAUAAUUUACAGCAUGACAGUCAGCUUACAUUGGGCCAUUGCCUCCUGUAUAAAAGUCUCCUCACAGUGCUUUCUUAAAAUUAUUUGAAAUCAAUGUGAUCGUUUUCAGUGGCGGAUCCAGGGG